AGUCUCUCUCUGUCCACUACCACCCACCCCGCAUCCACACGUCACAUCCUCCACGUGUCUGAUCCUUUUUUGUUGUUGCUUUACGCUUCUCCCCCUCUCAUUUUUUUUUUGCUCGUCGUGCUUCCACGGCUCGGGCAAAGGGCUCACCGCCACCGGCAGACGUCCUCUCCCCCCCCUCUCUACUCUCACACAAGCCAUGCAGAUCUAUGAGGCAUGCAAGAAGGUGGACCGGGCGGUCACCCACCGCCCGGCGGACCACUGGAUCGGCUACCUCGUCGCCGUUUCCGGUGCUCUGAUGCAGAUGAUGAGCUACGGCAUCGACAACAGUUUUUCCAUCUUCUCGAACAGUAUGCAGAAUGACCCGUCUCUGGGCUACCCGAGCGCGACAACCGUCAGCUUCGGUAACUCCGUGUCUCUCGGGCUGUCGCCGGUUUUCGGCGUUCUUGCUGGCUUCCUUGUCGAUCGCGUGCCGCCGCGAGUGAUGAUGUUCACCUCCACAGUGAUGCUCUUCGCCGCACUGUGGCUGAGCUCGUCUUUUGCGAAGAGCUCGGCGGAGGUCACGGCAUCCUACUCGCUGCUCGCCUCCAUCUCCUCCGCGUUGAUGCUGUCGCCUGGCGCAGCGGCGACCGGCUCGUGGUUCCGGCGUCGCCUUGGCCUUGGACAGGGCAUCAAUUUCUGCGGCGGCGGCGUCGGCAGUGCCGUUGUCCCAGCGGUGCUCGGCAGUCUCGUGGACGUCUACGGCUGGCGUCAUACCUUCCGCCUCAUGUCCGCGUUCUGCGCCAUUGGGCUGGUUGCCACAAUCCUCUCCUGCCGCCGCCACCCGAUCGAGGACGACGUUGACGUGGAUGACCACGCACGCGGCGGCAACAGCCCCGCCCGCGAGCCUAGCCAUGAUGAUUGUAUCGCGCACAGAAGCUUCAGCCACGAGGAGAGGAACGAAAUAAUGCUCAUGAUAACCCCCGAGGCAGGUGAGAACGCCGCGGCCUCACCGACAACCCGGAUGAUCGACUCCAUGCGCACGGAGGCGGAGAAGGCGGCGAACCACGACAACGGUGACACUCUCAAGAAGGGCGGCAAGCCGGAUGCAGCAGCGUCAGCUCGCGCCGCCCUGGCGUCGCCAGGCGGCAGCGACGACAUGAGCAUGUUAUUGGGUCGUCACCAGCAGCCGCAGCAGCAGCUCGCGCAACAUGGAAGGAAAGUGCACGGCACCCAGGCCUGCACGGUGGCGGAUCUAAUCCAGGAUAUGCACGUGCGGCGCCUGACUUGGAGAGAGAUGAUGCGCGUCUUCUUCUCCGUUCGCUUCCUUACGCACUUCUUCAUGUUCGCCAUCUACGGCUGGUCCUUCUACGGACUGAUCUACGUGGCCGUCCCCUACGUCUCCUCCAUGGGCAGCGCUGGCACGGUGUAUGCAGACGUCACCCCCAUCAGCACCUCCAAGGCGUCGACGGUGUUCACGUUUUGGGGUGUGUUUCAGAUUGUGGGCUCCAUCCUGGUAGGCGGCGUGGCCUCCUUCACCGACGACGCCCUCGCCUACACAAUGUGCGCCACCGUCGGUGGUUUGGCGACGUCGCUGCUCGUCUUUUGCCGCAGCUACGCGGCCUUCGCCGUGUGCUUAAGUGUGGUCGGCUUCUGCACGGCUGGCAUUUUCGCCAUGAUGCCGGCGCUGAUCGCCAAGGACUUCCACGGGCCUAACCUCGGCUUCUUCAUGGGCUGUGUAUUUGUGGCUGGCUGCCUUGGCGGCUUCUCGGCCCCGCCGAUUCAGGCGCAGCUGCAGACACGCUACAACGGCAACUAUUCGUACGGCUGUGUGUUUAUCAGCUGCUGCACAACGUUUCCGGGAGUGCUGUGCUACCUGCUCCUGGGGCCGGAGAAGCAGAGUCGCGUCGGACGCGUCUUCAUGCGCGUGGUGGAGCAGGCGUGAGACGGGGCCGCCACGUGUCGCCACCAUCUCCCCUCCGGCCACUGGCCACGUCUUUGCCCUCAGCCCGCCCUACCGCGACGAAACGGAAAGUGCCGCCGCUUCCGCAGCUGCCGUUAGCGUGAGGCACCAUAUAUCCCUCUCUCGCUGGUGUGUGUGAGGCGUUCCCGCUGCUGCAGGUCGAUGCCAUGGUGGUGCUUGGAGCCGGUCGCUAAUGGGCCCGUCGAUGCACUGCUAUCGCGCACAUGGCCGAGUUCUCCUCCUCCUUUCUCCGCCGUUCUCAAGAAAGCGGCAUUCACGACUGUGCGGCGUUCUUGCGCGCUGCCGCUGCUGCUCCUUCGUGUGUGUGUGUCCGUGUGUCGAUCACGUCACGUCGUCGUCUCUCACGGCUUUUCCCCAACGCCACUUCGUCCAUCCUCCCCUCCCCCCCGCACCCCCCAACCCGAGCGCCUCUCCCUCUCCCCCUCUCCCAAGCGCUCACCCGCUCUCUCCCUUGUGCUUCUCUGCCCCACUGCCACGCCGACGCGCACGGAAGAGGGCAUGACACGAGUCGCAAAAGAAUGAUAAUGUAUAUACCUGCAUAUACAUGUGCAUAUGCACGUGCAUAUAUAUGCCUAUAUGUAUGUAUACAUGUAUAUAUGUAGUGUAUGUAUAUGUAUGUAUACAUGUAUAUAUGUAGUGUAUGUAUAUGUAUGUAUACAUGUAUAUAUGUAGUGUAUGUAUAUGUAUGUAUACAUGUAUAUAUGUAGUGUAUGUAUAUGUAUGUAUACAUGUAUAUAUGUAGUGUAUGUAUAUAUACAUGCAUGCAUUAUUGUUUACGACGUCGUUGCCGCUUUCAUGUCCACCUGCGCUUCUCCCUUUUUUUUUUGGGGGGGGGGGUAUAUUUUUUUUUUCGUUUGUACUUUGGCCUUAUUUUCUUCAUGGCGGUCGCAAAUUUGACCGAACCGGCACCACCACACGCACACACGCAGAGGGAGAGGGAGAUCGUGUUGCAUUGCGACGCUCGCCCUCUCCCUCUGCGUGUGUGCGUGUGGGUGCCUCUGGGUGGAUUUCUUCCGUUUUUUUUUUUGCGUGUGUGCGCGUUCUCUCCCCUCUUCCCUCUCCUCCUCCUUGCCCUCGCAUCGCGUUUGUCCGCAAACGGCGCAAACCAUUUGGCAGAGGGGGAGGGGGGACGCCGCCGCACCUCCCUGUGCUGUGUGCUGCGUGGCAGGGCGAUCCGGGAAAGAGGGGGGAGGCAUGGGAUAUAUAUAUAUAUGGGACGGGAUAAGAGGGGGAGGAAGAAGGGAGGGAGGGGAAGCAGCAGCAAAAGCGUCAGCAGGAAUGUGGUACGGACGAAGAAGGGGAUGAGAGGGGCGUAUGGUACGCGUGGGGAAGCAGGUGCAAGAGCGGGAGGUGGAACCGAGCAGACGGGGGUGGGGAGGGGUGAGUGAGGGUGAUACGGCGGGCGAGCGCAAAUUGCUCGUUUUUCUUUUCGCCGCCUCAUCUCGGCCCUCUCCCAUGCACCUCCCUCGCUGCAGGGUGCGUGUGGAUUACCGCAAAAUGAGUAAGCCUACACGUGCACGCAUGCGUACUGCUGUGCUACGUCACACCUCUCUCUCUUUCCCCUUCUCCUCGCUCAUUUUUUUUCGCGUGACCCUUGUGUGUGUGUGUGUGUGUGUGUGUGUGUGUGUGUGUGUGUGUGUGCAUGUGGAUGUAUGUGGGUGUGUAUCGUGUAUGCGUAUGUUUGUACGUGUGUGUGUGUGUGUUGAGCAGAGCUAUGCUGUUUUCCUCCUUUUUACCUUUUAUUUCCUAAAACACCGGAGAAAAAAAAAUACGGAAUGAAGAAAAUAAGCACACACACACACACACACACACAUAUAUAUAUAUAUAUAUGUGUGUAUAUAGAUGCGUAUGUAUGCUUAUAUGAAGGAUAAAAAUCGACGCGAAACAAAAAAGAAGGCACCGGAGCAGACAAGAGCAAACAUGCACUGCCCUCAUGCGAUGAACCGCAUGAAGUACGCAUAUGCUGCUUGAGUCUGUGCCCGUGUGUGUGUGUGUGUGUGUGUGUGCGCGCGUUGGUGUUAAGAUACGAGAUACAAAGAGAAAGUGCGAGCGGGCGAAAUAGCAAGGAGAGGGGGCGCUAGGGGAAGGGAGUGUGAGAGAGAGUGCAACGUGUAGUGGUCACGUAGGACACACAAACGCCCAGACAGACAGACACACGCAGACGUAUACGUGCACCCGCAGACAACAAUACAGUCAUAUACAUAUAUAUAUAUAUAUAACCUCCUUGUGUGUCUGCUCUUGUCGCCUCCCCUUCCGCUUUCUUUUCCUUCGCCACUAUCCUCACUAUAAUUAUCGUUGUCGCGACGCUCUUCUGGACUCGUACCCUCGCCCCUUCCUCCUCCUUGUUCCCCCUUCUUUCGUCAUGAUCAACUCGUGUGUGUGCGUGUGCGGGUAUGUAUGUUUAUACGUACAUUCCUGUUCGUGCGCAGGUGCGCGUGUGUACCUGUACCGGUCGCCCCUCUGGAUUUUGUUACUGGUCGCCUCCCCUUCCUCCCCUCUUCCUCCCCGACUCCUGCAAGUCUCCUUUUUGAAGCGUGAGACGCGCACAGAAACGGCAGCGGCGCGACGAAAACAACAACAGAGGCAGACCAAGUGCGUAAUGCGGUUGUUUUGGGAGAGAUGUACAAGGGAAGGAGGAUCGUCAGGGAUAGAGGUGGGGGGGGGGGGCGGCGGCACCCGAGUGGUUGUUGGUGGGGAAUGCGAAUGACGGAAUGGAUGUGUGCGAGCGUGGGUGUGGUGUUUUUUCGGGUUUGUGAGAGUAUGCGGGGCUGUAUGAGCGCGGGAUGAUGUGGCGGCAUGGCCCCAUAUCACCUCUCCCUCCCCCACACUGUGUGCUCUCCUUCGCGGUUUUUUGCCACGUCUUCGUGACUUAUCCCUACGGUCAAGCGCGACGCGCGCACAGGAAAGAGAAUUUAUGUAUCCAUUAGGAAGUAAUCAGCGGCGCACGGCGCCCCGUUGCUGAAUGCAGCGGGUGAGCGGUGGGUAAAGCUGGUGGAGCGUCAGCGGCGGCUGGCGCGCAGAGGAGAUGGCAGAGAAAUGGGCAGGGGCGCAGACGCAGAGACGAGAGCUGCUGUGUGCACAGCAACGAACCCUGUUUUCCUUUCUCUCACGAUCACCGCUCGUGCAUGUUUGUGUGUGCCUGACUCUCUCUGUCUCUCUCUCUCUCACCUAGCACUCACCUCGCGAUGGUGAUCAUUAAAAGAGGGCUUCCUGCUUGCCUCCCUACUCCCUCGCCCGACACGCGGAGUCGUGCGGAGGACUGCCCAUCCUUUACACGUGGCACUGCCGAUCAACCGCGCCGGUGUGCGCCCGCUCGCGUGUUCCUUUCCUUGUUUUUCUUCGAGAGGCUGUUGCGGCGUUUACGGCACGGCAAGGAUUGGGCAUAGUGAUGCCUCCUGCACCUGCACCCCCUUUCAGCUCCGUCUCUCAAUGUUUCUCUGCUCUCCUCCCCCCCCCCGCUGCGGCUGUUGUGCAUACGCACUCUCGCCCUCCCUCGAUGGCAUUUUCGCUUCUUCCGCUCUCUCUCUCACCGCACUUGUAUCCACAUCAUCUUUAG
rnacentral:misc_RNA from 1 species